rnacentral:pre_miRNA from 1 species
CUAAGUACUAGCGCCGUAGGAGAUCUUUAAAACACUCCUGCAGCCUUGGUGCUUACCA